GUAGAGGGAAGCAGGUGAGGGGCCCUCCCACAGUGCCCUCGAGUUCUCCCAUGGUCUGCCCCCAGUUUGCAGGGACCUGGCUCCUUGUGGCUGUGGGCUCCGCUUGCCGUUUCCUGCAGGAGCAGGGCCACCGGGCCGAGGCCACCACACUGCAUGUGGCUCCCCAGGGCACAGCCAUGGCUGUCAGUACCUUCCGAAAGCUGUGAGUCCCAGAGCAGCCCUGCACCCUAACCCCAACCCUCCUCUCAGCCCCCGGACUUCAGCCCUGCUCUGGCCCCUGACCCCACCCCGGCUGUGGCCUGGACUAGGAUUCCUGGUUGGGGUCUCCCAGCCUGUGGUGCCUCCUCCCCGCCCCCCCAGGGAUGGGAUCUGCUGGCAGGUGCGCCAGCUCUAUGGAGACACAGGGGUCCUCGGCCGCUUCCUGCUUCAAGCCCGAGACGCCCGAGGGGCUGUGCACGUGGUUGUCGCUGAGACCGACUACCAGAGUUUCGCUGUCCUGUACCUGGAGCGGGCGGGGCAGCUGUCAGUGAAGCUCUACGCCCGCUCGCUCCCUGUGAGCGACUCGGUCCUGAGUGGGUUUGAGCAGCGGGUCCAGGAGGCCCACCUGACUGAGGACCAGAUCUUCUACUUCCCCAAGUACGGCUUCUGCGAGGCUGCAGACCAGUUCCACGUCCUGGACGAAGUGAGGAGGUGAGGCCGGCACACAGCUCCAGUGCUGAGAAGUCAGUGCCCCGAGAGACGACCCCACCAGUGGGGUGCCCGCUGCCUGUCCUCCGUGAAACCAGCCUCAGAUCAGGGCCCUGCCACCCAGGGCAGGGGAUCUUCUGCCGGCUGCCCCAGAGGACAGUGGGUGGAGUGGUACCUACUUAUUAAAUGUCUC
rnacentral:lncRNA from 1 species